rnacentral:tRNA from 1 species
AUUUAAAUAGUUUAAUUAAAAUAUUAAUUUGUGGAAUUAAAGAUUAUUUUAUAAUAUUUAGAUA